rnacentral:lncRNA from 1 species
CGGGUUUGCAGUUUCGCGGCCGAGGUGUGCAGAGGCAGACAGGAAACUUGUGUGGAACGCGCGAACCCGAGUCGGCGCCGCCGCCAGACCGGCAACGGAGCGGCCUCUUGGGUCCAAGUCCCGCGUCCCUCUUCUCCCUGCGUCUCCCCUCUCCAUCCUCAGCCUCGUCGGGCUACAGGACGCGGCCAGGCGCGGCGCACUUGAGAUGGGCUCCGUUUCGCCGCGGCCCUGGCCGUGCGGCUCCCGGGAGAAGAUGCCAAGUGCACGGGCCUCCUCGCCUCCCUGAGCCUGGGAAGGCGCUGGCAGGCCACUUCUGCGCCUCGUGGCUGGAGAGCUCCGGACGGUGCCGUGGGGAACCGGGUACCAGUCCCGGCUCCCGGGGCCACUUUGCGAACCACCUCCUACGCAGAGACGGGGCCGGGAGUUCACCCCGCUGCGGCUCUCCAGCACACCGGACUCCGCGGGAAUUUCAGCAGCGCACUCUGGCGUCUUCUCGGCUUUAGGCCGGGUUGGGGCUACGGGAUGAAGGCGGCCAUCGGGCCAGAGUCGGCAUGCUGUUCUGCUGGUGGUUUGAGCCACCCGUAUCCUGGACACCGGCCAGGCGGUCCCUUCACCCCCUGCCUCGCUUCCCUCUCUUCACGGAGCCUCGAGGCCCAGGGACUUCAGCAGCAUCAGGAGGGGCUCCGGUUUUCCGGGCCUGAGGACAGACACUGAGACAUCGCCUAUAAUUAGCAACAAUAAUGCCCGUGAUGGUAGUAAUUACUAAUAACCAGCUCCGACAUCGGGCUUGAUUUUUCCCUGCUCUGAGUCAGAUUGUCUUGCUAGUCAUGCUGCUUCCCGCGCUCAAUUCGCCCCUCCACACUCCAGGAUCCGCCUACAACCUCCAGGGUUCCUUUCCUGCUUUUACAUAGAUUCCGGGCUGGGUUUGUGGGGACGCCGAGGGUUGGUGGGGAGUGGAUUCUUGGUGACACAAAUCCGGGAAGCCCCUAACUGCAGCUUUUUCCUGUUCCCCAGCCUACCACCAGACACCUUCUAACCCUAAGACAGAUUUCCGAUCUUCAACCUCCUCUCCUCUAUACCCAAAACAAAUCCAUCCAUUGCCUGUGACUCACUGUGUGAGAAGUGGGCCAGUCCCACCCACCCCUGUCCUGUUCAGCAAACUACAGUGUCACAUUUCAGGUUGACAGGGGAGAUACGCCCUCUUGAGUGACCUGGAGAAUGAGGUGGGAUGUAAGUCCAGGGACACUUCUCAGCCUUGGGAUUCAGCUACAGCUUAUCUGCCUCCAUCCAACCCACUGAGCACCACCGCCCACCCCACCCGCAAGCCUCAGGUCUCUCUGCAGCUGGCAGAGCUCUGUGGGGAGGCAGGAAUAGGGGAGUGGAGGCUUCAUCCUAACUCAACCAGCCCACUCCUCUGUGCCCCGGCUGCAUCACCUCCAUUGGCAUCACAUCACAAAGUGAUUGCAGGCUCCUCAAAACACCAGGGAGCUGGGUGGGGAGGAGCUGGGUGGGGAGGACCUGGCUGGGCCCCACCUGGAGACUCCCCUGUGAAUCCUGCCUGAGGACUGCACAGUUCCUGGGGAAGCGGCACUAGCAAAGCUGGGUAACUUGCUCCCUGGAGAGCCCUGCAAAGGUGCAGAAGGGGAGAUUGUGGUCUAUUCUCUGCCCAAGGCCAGGGCCUGAGGCUGCACUCCAGGUCCCUCGCCUAAAACCAAUUCUAGGAAGUCCUUUCUAGGAAGCUCUAGCAGAGCCUGGCAGGCCCUGACUCACCUCCUCUCUUCUUUCUCCUUGGCCCUUGUCCCCAAAACUUUCACCUAGGAUACUAGGAAGCAGGGUAGACUGAGAGAAAGAGAGAGAGAAUUGCCACCAAAGCAUCCCAUCAGAGAGGGGGAGGGGCGGAGAAGGAGCUAGAAUCUCCUGGCUCAGCCCCUCCUGGUAGAGUUUCCUCCCACUCGUUCUGCCACUCAUUUUCAGCAGCAAAUGUUUCAGUGGGGCCCAGGGCUUCAUGGCCUCAGAUGCUGGAGCAGGCAGAAGGGCUGUGCGUCUGGAAUCCGUGGGCCUGAUUUGAACGUCCUUUUAAAAAUGUCGUGAGAAGGUCUAAAACUUUCCCUCAAAGAGACUGCCCCUGCCGCUGCCCGGACUCAGCAUCACUGGCAUCUAGGACCAUCCCUCUGGUGGCCCUAGGGGUGCCAGGCAAAGGCGAUGGACAUUGGAAUGGGAGGUUGUGUGGUUCCCUCUGCUUGGCCUUCGAAACCGACGCCCCAGCUGUGAGGCGCUGGACCUCUGAGGCAGGAGAGAGCCACUUUGUUGGCCCCUCAGCCACUUUUCCUGCCUCCAAAGGGGGUGGCUGAGGCAGGCCCUGCCGCUGCUCCGGAAGUUGCUCCUGGCGGAGCUGGCCGCACCCGGUGGCUGCCCCCUGGUCACUGUGCCAGAGACAAAGACGAGGAGCCUGACAAAACCAGGUCUAGGGGUCGCUGCGCAGCGGAAUCGGAGCUCCUCCUGCUUAGCGCCGGGGAUCCAGUCCGGAAGCCCUUGGGCCCCAGUGCUCCGGGGACCCAAGGCACGUGGCCCAGAAGGCUGGCAAGACCCCGCGAAGCUCGGCAAUGGGGGGUGACUGGGACACCCCUGCUGGGAAGCUAGGACCUUCAGCGCGUCCAGG